CUAUCCUGUGGAGAGGUAUGGCUCACCAAGGCUACGAUGGGUAGGGGUUCUUAGUGGAAGGUCCCCCACACUGGCACUGAGAUACGGGCCAGACUCCUACGGGAGGCAGCAGUAGGGAAUAUUGGUCAAUGGGCGCAAGCCUGAACCAGCCAUGCCGCGUGCAGGAUGAAAACUCUCUGAGUUGUAAACUGCUUUUGUACAGGAGCAAAAAAGUCCCUGCGGGGAUUCUUGAGAGUACUGUAAGAAUAAGCACCGGCUAAUUCCGUGCCAGCAGCCGCGGUAAUACGGAAGGUGCAAGCGUUAUCCGGUUUUAUUGGGUUUAAAGGGUGCGUAGGCGGCUUAUUAAGUCAGUAGUGAAAUCCUAGUGCUUAACGCUAGAACUGCAAUUGAUACUAUUAGGCUUGAGUUAAGAAGAGGUA
rnacentral:rRNA from 1 species